AUUAAUCCAUAUUAGAAUUUACACAAUUUAUUAAUUUUAGUGUUGUACUUACAAUAAUACUAUUUACCAUUGACACAGAUGCAUUUCAAUAGUUUAACAAUUGAGACAGUCAUGCUGGUCUCUAUCAGUGAAAUAUCAUAUCUGCUUAUAAUCCCAACCAAUACUGGAUAUUAUUAAUCUUUUAAAAAAAUUAGUCCUUUGUCUACAUAAGUCCUACAAAUAUUUUUCCCCAAUUUGUAGUUCAUCUUUUUCCUGUAGAAUCAUUUUAAAUGACAGGUCUUCAAGUGUCUUCAUCACUUUUCCUUUCGCUUCUGUGCUUUAUACUUUUUUUUUUUUUUUGGUUUUUUUUUUUUUUUCCUUUUUGGGGAGAACGGGGUCUCGCUAUAUUGCCCAGGCAGGUCUUGAACGCCUGGGCUCAAGCUAUGCUCCUGCCUCUUGCCUCCCUGAGAGCUGGGAUUACAGGCAUGAGCCACCGUGCCUGGCCAUGGCUUCUGUGUUUCAUUUAACGCUUUGAAAGCCCCAUCUUCUCAAAGAUUAUAUGAAAAGCUUAUUCCAGUUUUUAAAAUAUUUGAUACAAGGGUAAUGUACUUUGGUAUAAGGAGUGAGGUAUAGAUCCAGCUUUAUAUUUUUCUUUUUUUUUUUGAGACGGAGUCUUGCCUUGUCACCCAGGCUGGAGUGCAGUGGCGCGAUCUCGGCUCACUGCAAUCUCCGCCUCCCGGGUUCAUGCCACUCUCCUGCCUCAGUAGCUGGGACUACAGGCGCCCGCCACCAAGCCCGGCUAAUUUUUUAUAUGUUUAGUAGAGACGGGGUUUCACCACGUUAACCAGGAUGGUCUCGAUCUCCUGACCUCAGGAUCCGCCCGCCUCGGCCUCCCAAAGUGCUGGGAUUUCAGGCGUGAGCCACCGCGCGCAGCCCAGCUUUACAUUUUUCAGACUGGCCUACCAUGUCUUUGUCAGACAUUGCCAUUUACCUACCUAGCAUCCAUUCUUCCUAACAGAUCCCUGACUUCACUCAGGGCUGGGAUGUCCCAGCUUAAAAUACUUUCCCCAACUCUCUUACAGCAAGGGAUGGCUAUGUGAUUCAGUUCUGUCCCAUGAGACAUGGAUGGAAGCCACUAAGUGGGGCUUCCAGAGAUUUUAAAUAAGGACACCUUUGACUGACAUGCUCCAUUUGGUCUCUUAAGCUUCAUCUUCUUCCUGCUUGAAAUGUAGAUGUAAUACUUAGAGGUGAAAUAACUUUUCUGAGACAAUGAGGAUGAAAGCCACUCACCAAAGAUGGCAGAAUAGAGCAAUAAAUGGACCUUGAGUUCUUAAUAACACUGUUAAACUGCCAUAUCAGUUAUGGAUUAUGUAACCUUGGAUUUAUUACGUGAAAAAAUAAACUCACAGUGAAGCUAGUAAUCACAGGAAUUUUUGUUUCUUGCAACCAAAUAUGUUCCUAUCUGAUACAGUAUCCCCACUUAUUUAAUAUUCCAUCUUUUUAUACCAAUUUGACAUGCUACCUUCAUCACCUUCCCAUGUAUAAUUAAUUGGGUAUAAUUCUGGAAACCCUCCUGUUUCAUUGACCUAAAUGACUUAAAUUUUUAAUAGCUAAUAUAAUAACAGCCAAUGUUUGUUGAAUGCCAAAACUAUUCUGUUUAUUACAUUAAUUAUCUAGUUCAUUUAACCCUCACAACAGCGCUUGGAGCCUUAUUUUUUUAUUUUUUUUUGAGACGAAGUUUUGCUCUUCUUGCCCAGGCUGGAGUGCAAUGGUGACAUCUCAGCUCACCACACUCUCCACCUCCCAGGUUCAAGCGAUUCUCCUGUCUCAGCCUCCAGAGUAGCUGGGAUUACAGGCACGCGACACCACGCCCAGCUAAUUUUGUAUUUUUAGUAGAGAUGGGGUUUCUCCAUGUUGGUCAGGCUGGUCUCAAACUCCCAACCUCAGGUGAUCUGCCAGCCUCUGCCUCCCAAAGAGCUGGGAUUACAGGCGUAAGCCACCGCACCUGGCCAAGGAAUUCUAAAGCUGUUUUAAAAGACUGCAUUUCAGUAUGCAUCCCUAAACACUAUAGCUUAAUUUUGCCUGUGUUUGAACUUCAUAUAAAUGAAGUAAUACAGUACAAAUUCUUUGUCUUUUUCACUCAACAUAAUACUUGUGAAAUUCUUCAUGUUUUUGUAUGCGGCUUUAGUUCAUUUAUUUUCAUUGCUGCAUAAGAUUCCAUUGUGUAAUUAUACCAACUUGUCUAUUCUGUGUUGAUGGACAUGUUCCCGUUUUUGGCUAUUUGAAUAAUGUUAACUGUGCACAUUCUUGUACAUAUGUCUCUUAUGGUACAUGUACAUGCAUUUCGGUUGAAUAUAUGUCAAGAGUAUAAUUGCAUAUCUUGGCCUUUAGUAUUAAAAGCACGUUUCUGGCUGGGCGCAGUGGUUCAUGCCUAUAAUCCCAGCACUUUGGGAGGCCAAGGCGGGCAGAUCACCUGAGGUUAGCAGUUCGAGACCAACAUGGUGAAAUCCCGUCUCUACUAAAAAUACAAAAAUUAGCCGAGUGUGGCAGUGGGUGCCUGUAAUCCCAGCUACUCGGGAGGCUGAGGCAGGAGAAUCGCUUGAACCCAGAAGGCAGAGGUUGCAGUGAGCCAAGAUCGCGCCACUGCACUCCAGCCUGGCAACAGAGCAAGACUUUGUCUAAUAAAAUAAAAUAAAGCACAUUUCUGAUACCGUAUUUCUACUCAAAAGCUCUGACAGGCUGGGCACAGUGUCUCACGCCUGUAAUCCCAGCACUUUGGGAGGUUGAGGUGGGCAGAUCACCGGAGGUUGGGAGUUCAAGACCCGCUUGGCCUACAUGGAGAAACCGUCUUUACUAAAAACAAAAAAAUUAGCCGGGUGUGGUGAUGGGCACCUGUAAUCCCAGCUACUUGGGAGGCUGAGGCAGGAGAAUCACUUGAACCUGGGAGGCAGAGGUUGCAGUGAGCCGAGAUUGCACCACUGCACUCCAGCCUCAGCGAGACAGCGAGACUCCAUCUCAACAAAAAAGCUCUGACAAAGAAAGAAUGGCCUAGAAUGUCAGGUAUGGUGCUGACAUACCUGUUCAAUUUCAUUAACCACUAAACUUCAAACUGGUUUUCUUUUUAUAUUUUUAAAUUUUUUUCCCCAAGCAAACUCACAAACUGCGAUUCUAUCUGAAAGAGUCUUCCCUACCUUCUUUGCCUAGUUAACUUUUAUUUUUCCCUAAGAUUUCAGCUUAAGCAUCGUUGCUUCAAGGAAGGCUUCUUUUAUAUACUUGCUUACCACCACAGGCCUCUUUUUCUCAUUUCUUGAAAUAGUUUUACAAUUUGUGAAAUUAAUUGGCUGAGUCCCCAGCAAAAUAAGCUCAUUAAAGUCAGGGUGUGUGUAUAUUGGGGGGGGCGGUCUUUUUUUUUGAGACAGAGUCUCGCUCUGUCACCCAGGCGGGAGUGCAGUGGCGCGAUCUCUGCUUACUGCAAGCUCCGCCUCCCGGGUUCACACCAUUCUCCUGCCGCAGCCUCCCAAGCAGCUGGGACUACAGGCGCCUGCUACCACGCCCGGCUAAAUUUUGUAUUUUUAGUAGAGACGGGGUUUCACCGUGUUAGCCAGGAUGGUCUCGAUCCCCUGACCUCGUGAUCCACCCGCCUCGGUCUCCCAAAGUGCUGGGAUUGCAGGCGUGAGCCACCGCGCCCGGCCUAUUGGGGGUCUUUUUUGCAUUAUCACUGUAUCCCUACACUCAGCACAGUACUAGGUUCAUACAGGAAGGGGUUAAUAAAUAUGUGAUUAAUAUCUAUUGUCCCUUCACAUUCAGGGUGCCAAAUUCAAAGGCUGUUUCUUCUCAAUGUUUUAUUAUUCAGGCCACCACUAGCACAAUCCUUUGAAAAUAAUUUUUUUUUUUUUUUUUUUUUUUU
rnacentral:lncRNA from 1 species